UACGUAGGGUGCGAGCGUUAAUCGGAAUUACUGGGCGUAAAGCGUGCGCAGGCGGUUCGUUGUGUCGGUGGUGAAAGCCCCGGGCUUAACCUGGGAAUGGCCAUGGAAACUGGCGAACUGGAGUGUGGCAGAGGGGGGUGGAAUUCCGCGUGUAGCAGUGAAAUGCGUAGAGAUGCGGAGGAACACCGAUGGCGAAGGCAGGUCUCUGGGCCACUACUGACGCUGAGAAGCGAAAGCAUGGGGAGCGAACAGG
rnacentral:rRNA from 1 species